CAGUAGCCGCGGUAAUACGGAGGGUGCAAGCGUUAAUCGGAAUUACUGGGCGUAAAGCGCACGCAGGCGGUCUGACAAGUCAGAUGUGAAAUCCCCGGGCUUAACCUGGGAACUGCAUUUGAAACUGUCAGGCUGGAGUCUUGUAGAGGGGGGUAGAAUUCCAGGUGUAGCAGUGAAAUGCGUAGAGAUGUGGAGGAAUACCGAUGGCGAAGGCAGCCCCCUGGGCCAAUACUGACGCUCAUGCACGAAAGCGUGGGGAGCAAACAGGAUUAGAUACCCCAGUAGUCCCUGUCUCUUAUAA
rnacentral:rRNA from 1 species